GCCAGGUGCGGUGGUGCACGCCUGUAAUCCCGGCAGCUCGGGAGGCUGAGUCAAGAAGAUCAUGAGUUCAAAGCCAGCCUCAGUAAUGGUGAGGCACUAAGCAACUCAGUGAGACCCUGUCUCUA
rnacentral:sRNA from 1 species